rnacentral:tRNA from 1 species
AGAAUUUUAAGUUAACCAAACUAUCGGCCUUCAAAGCUGAAAAUAAUAUAAGUUAUAUUCUA